UGACUGAAAUGGCCUUAUGAUAGGUUCCAGCAAAGCCAAUUUUGGAGAGCUUAUGUUGGCAAUGAUUCUUGCUGCACUUUGUGUAGAUAAUCAGGUCAAGCAUAUGGGACCGAAGCCUAUUUUGCAGGUAGAUUGGUCCUGCUGUGAUUCGUCUUUGGUGGAAGUGGCAGACUGGAGACAGAAAGAUUGUGUUUCAGAAGAAAACUCUAUAUUAGCUUAAUCUUUGAUUCCUCAGUGGCCACAUGGUCACUCAUGGUAUGGAGCUGCCUAUGACACCCCUCCUCAGCAUGAAGCAGCCAGAAAGAUCGACAGCCAGAUUCCUCAUGAUUGAGCAAUUGACAAAUAGAAAGUGAGCACAGAAACUGGCCCAAGACUCCCACAGACUGUUCUUUUGGAAGAACAUAGAAAUUGAUCCUUCUGCUGUUAAAGCUUGAAACUUGUAUUAGUCCCUGCCCCUGCAAAUUCCCGUCCUUUCAUCCUCCUAAUUUUGAGUAGAUCAAUAGUCAGAAUUUAAUUAUGAUUUAUAUAACUGCUGGUCACAGUUGAGCCAUGUAGUAUACAAUGAUUCAUUUCUCUUUUCCAUACAAUAAUUUGUGUUUCCUAAAGUUAAUAAUUGCUUUGUUUUUUUCAUUUGUGAAAUUUUAUAUGUCCAUAUUGCUAAUGAAACGGUCUCAACAGUUCCAUAGACAGUUGUUUUUGAAUAAACAUAGAAAUUUACCCUUCUUCUCUUAAAGCCUGAAACCUGUAUUUGUUUUAUCUGAGUUCGUUCUUCAGGAAAGGACCUUCAGGCUCCUUAAAAAGGAAAUGUCAAAGAACUGAAACUCACCAGAUCACUGCACCGGGUGGCCCUUGGCCCCUCCCUAGUUCUUGUUUUCUUACCCAUGUAACAUUUCUUCCCUGGUAUAUAAAUCCUCCCCGUUUUAGUCAGUUAGAGAUAUGGAUUUGAGACUGAGCUCCCAUCUCCUUGGCUGCAGCACCUGAUUAAAGCCUUCUUCCUUGGUAAUACUUGUCCUCCCAGUGAUUGGCUUUCUAUGCUGUAAGCACCAGGACCUUGACCAAACUCCUGGUGUUUCAGCAAUAUAUUUUGUUUCCUUGACCGGGAAUGUCUUGCUCAUGGCAGCUCGGUUGCUGUGGGCUGGGAGUCUCAGAAGCCCUCCUAAGCAGCUGCCCACCUAAUUUUGGCUGGAGGUGAAUUUCCGUCUCUCUCUGGCCCUGCCACAGCCAGCCCCAACUUUGUUCCUGAUUGCCUUGGAAGAACUGCCUUUGAAAUUUGACAUCUGUACACAGAUAGGUGAGCAGCAUCUGCUCCUCUCAAUUUGGGAAAAUUUUAAAGGAAUUUCCAUUUGUAGGUGGAACAAGACCAACUGACUGAGAGCGAAGCACCCUGACUGUUUCAGUAUGGACACUCUUGAGGACUUGUUUGUAAUUGUGUGUUGUGUCCCGGCAAGUGAGUGUCUCUUUUGGGUACCAGACAGUGGGAUCAGCUCCUCUCAAUUUGGGAAAUUCUUUAUGGAAUUUCCAUUUGCAAGUCGAUCAAGCCCAGCCAGUAGAGAAAGGGUGCACCCUGGCUGUUUCAGUUUGGACACUAGGGGCUUGUUUGUUGCUGCAGCAGUUGGAUAGUGUUUUGGUGAUUGUGUGUGUUUGAUAUAGUCAUGGGAAAUCAGAAUUUAGCCAACUUGAUAUUCUUUUGCAAUACUAUUUGGCCCCAAUCUUGUUUGGAAUCUGGACUUUGCUGCUGAAUGGAAAAGUGGGAUGGAGUUGCAUGGAUCCAGGCUUUUGUGCUGCUGUUCUAAGCAGAGUUGGGCCUGGUUAAUAUGUGAUGUUUUCCUUCAGUGCUGUUUAGCCCCAGUGUUCUUUGGAGUCCGGGGAAGUCUGGCCUUUAAAAAUCAAACUGCCAUGGACACUGCUUUACCCAAAAUUUUGGUUCACAUUCUUCACUGGAUUAACUAUUGGGGCAAACAACGUAUAACCAUGUAAAACCAGUACGCUUGUAUUGGCAUUUCAUGGCUAGAGUUCUAAGGUAAAAUUAUUGGAUUUUCGUUUGUGUGUGUGUCUACUUGUAUGUGUCUAUUUGUAUGUACACUUAUUGUUACAUGUUGUGUCUACCAAAUUGGCUUAUAAGUAAAAGAGCACUCAUACGUUAAGUGAAAAAGUCCAAGCAAUUUUCAAGUUCACGUGACUUAUGUAAAUCUUUACUAAACAAACCGGCUUUAAAAUUAUUGGUAGAAUGAAAUUGUCAGCAUACAUUUUUGUUUGGGUUUUAUAUAUGUCUCUGCUAGAUAUUUUGAGGUUUCAGUGUUUGGCAUAGAAGGUUAUAAAGCUGUUAAUCUAGCCAAAACAAAAUGAUUUUGGUAUGCCUUCUUUGACAGAUGAGACUAAUUUAAUGUUGUUAGGUGAAUCUUCUGAGUUAUUGGCAAAAAUAUCUAUGUAUUUAACUUUGAGCCUCUUAUUUAGGUGAGCACCU
rnacentral:lncRNA from 1 species